UGCAAGUCGAACGAAGCUUGACGGAUGAUUUCUUCGGAAUGAAACCAGAUAUGACUUAGUGGCGGACGGGUGAGUAACACGUGAGCAACCUGCCUUUCAGAGGGGGAUAACGGCUGGAAACGGUCGCUAAUACCGCAUGACGUGUUCGGAUGGCAUCAUCUGAACAUCAAAGAUUUAUCGCUGAAAGAUGGGCUCGCGUCUGAUUAGAUAGUUGGUGGGGUAACGGCCUACCAAGUCUACGAUCAGUAGCCGGACUGAGAGGUUGAACGGCCACAUUGGGACUGAGGUACGGCCCAGACUCCUACGGGAGGCAGCAGUGGGGAAUAUUGCACAAUGGGGGAAACCCUGAUGCAGCAACGCCGCGUGAAGGAUGACGGUUUUCGGAUUGUAAACUUCUUUUCUUAGUGACGAAGACAGUGACGGUAGCUAAGGAAUAAGCAUCGGCUAACUACGUGCCAGCAGCCGCGGUAAUACGUAGGAUGCAAGCGUUAUCCGGAUUUACUGGGUGUAAAGGGAGCGCAGGCGGGACUGCAAGUUGGAUGUGAAAUACCGUGGCUUAACCACGGAACUGCAUCCAAAACUGUAGUUCUUGAGUGAAGUAGAGGCAAGCGGAAUUCCGAGUGUAGCGGUGAAAUGCGUAGAUAUUCGGAGGAACACCAGUGGCGAA
rnacentral:rRNA from 1 species